GCCCCGAUAGCUCAGCUGGACAGAGCGACUCCCUCCUAAGGAGUAGGCCGCAGGUUCGAAUCCUGCUCGGGGCA
rnacentral:tRNA from 1 species